AUUGAACGCUGGCGGCAGGCCUAACACAUGCAAGUCGAGCGCGAAAGUCUUCGGAUGAGUAAAGCGGCGAACGGGUGAGUAAUGCAUGGGAAUCUGCCUGGUAGUGGGGGACAACGUCUCGAAAGGGACGCUAAUACCGCAUACGCCCUACGGGGGAAAGGGGGGGACCUUCGGACCUCUCGCUAUCAGAUGAGCCCAUGUCAGAUUAGCUAGUUGGUAGGGUAAAGGCCUACCAAGGCGACGAUCUGUAACUGGUCUGAGAGGAUGAUCAGUCACACUGGAACUGAGACACGGUCCAGACUCCUACGGGA
rnacentral:rRNA from 1 species